rnacentral:misc_RNA from 1 species
UUAUUUAGAGUUAGUUGCAAGCGGACGUGUUUCUCAAUCUGGAUGGCUGGAAACUAAAUGAAAGAGCAAACGAACGAAGCGACCGCAAUACAUAUACGCAUAUUUUUAAAUCAAAUUAAUUAACUAAGAAGUAGUAAAUACCCGAGAAGCAGCAAAGCAAAAAAAAAAUCACAAUCAACCGGCGCCCCAAGAAUACAAGAGAGAGAUUUUCGAACGCCGCUUUGUGGAUUACCAGGCGUAUACGUAACGAGCAAACAGCAACGAGUCCGGGAGUUAAUUUUCCAUUUGCAGCGUCUGCUUGGGUUUCACCGCAAUUCCGCUUACGGAAUUGAGGCACUGGAAGUCAAGCAGAGUGCUCGCAAGUUCCAAAAGUUGAGCACACUUCUGCCUCCAAAGUUACAGGAGGUCCGAAAGUUGUCGCCAACGAGCCAAAAUCGCAGACAGAAGACUGAGCAGCAAUUAAAAAAUUGUAGCUAACUGCCGGCCACUUACGCACACGUAGUUAAAGUCGUGAAAAGCAUAAGAUUGAACGACACUCUGCGCGAUAAGGAGCAACAGGUUAGCAAGGAUCUCGAGGAGAUCGAGCAAGUCUUCCGUCGCAUCUCGCAGCUGCAGGACAAGCUAAACGCGCUUCACGAGCAACUGCAAUCGGUUCACGUCUACGACGAGCACAUAGCCCAAACGGAACAGCUCCUCAUCACACUGAACAGCCAGGUGCAGCAGGCCGCCGAGGAGAGCAAAUCACUGGUGGCCCAGACAACGGCCCACUACCAGGCCAAACAGAAUCAGCUGCCCAGCGACAUUGCCCAGGAGUUUACGGCUCUUGAGCUACUUGCCGAACGCGUCCAGGUGACCAUGGAGACCAAAGAGAAGGAUUUCAAGCGGGCCAAGACCGUGCGCACCGAAUAUAUGGACGGUGUGGACGAGGUGCAGCGUUGGCUGCUCCAGGCAGAGGUGCAGGUGCAGGAGAGAAGCCUCACACCCACACAGAUGAAGGAGCUGCUGCAGCGCAUUAACCAUGAGAUAACCGCCAUCUACGAACGUUUCACCCUGGUCAAGACCAACGGCCAGCUGAUCAUCGAGAACUGUCGCAACAGCGAGGAGAAGACGCUGGUGCAGACGACCAUCGAUCAGUUGGCCGCAUCGCUGGCCCAGGUACGCGGCUGGCUGGACGAGAAGAAGCAGGCGGUGGGCGAUAGUCUGGACGCGUGGACGAGGUUCAUGAACCUCUACCAGAUCGUGAUGUCGUGGGCAUCCGAGAAGCGCACCUUCAUCGACCAGACCAUCGAGCUGCGCACCCUGCCCGAGGCACGCAACAAACUGAACGACUAUGUGACGGCUGUGAAGAGUAUUAAACCGAUUGUGAAGCAUCUGAGCGAAAUGGACAAGGAACUGGAGCACAUUGGCCAAGUGACGACUGUGGGCGAUCUCAAGGACAAACUGCAGGAGGCCGAGGAUGCGAAGAUAUCCGUGGAAGCGGUGCUGCUAGAGAGGAACUCCCUGCUGCAAGAGGCCUGCGAGGAAUGGGACCAAUGUGAACGCAAGAUUAAGGAUAUACGCUCCUGGCACGAAAAGACGAAGCAGGGACUGGACUCCUCGCAGCAGCAGAAGAAACCGCUGCGCGAUCAGCUCGGCUUCUGUGAGAAGACCCUGGCCGAUAUCAAUGUGCAGAAAACGAAACUGAGACUGUCCAUCGAGAAACUGGAGGUUCAUUUCCGCAAUGGCAUGGGCGGUGAUCCGCGCCUGAGCGAGAACGUCGAUGAUCUGGUGCGCGUGCUCGACGGCCUCGGCGAAUUGGUCAAAGCCAAGUCGCAGAGCCUCGAGCAGACGCUGGCCCAGAUCGACGUUUACCAGCAGCAGAUGCAGUCCCUGCGCCAGCGCAUCAUCCAGGAGGAGCAGCAGCUCCGCCUGGUGAUGGCGCCCACGUACUUGCCGCACGAUCGCGAGCGCGCAUUAGCCGAGCAACAGGCAAUGCGAGAAUCAAUCGAUGGCAUGCAGCAAGUCUACGAUGCGACCGCUCGAAAGUCCUAUGCGCUGGAUCCCCAUUCAGUGGUGACCACUUCAUCGACUGUCUCGUUGCUUAUGAAGCCAACGGCGGCAGUAGGUCUAACCUAUGCUGAAGUGCUGUCGGGACAUGCGAGUCCGGUAAGCAGCGGUAAUGAAUCGGUAACCAAUUCCCGACCAGAACGAGACCCCUCCACGACGACAACCACAACGACAACACGGCAGCAACAAUCGAACGAUACAACCAUUAAGACUACCACAACUACGACUACGACUUCGAGAAGUACGCACGGGGAUGACGAUCAAAGCCAGGAGAGACAAGAGCUCAAUGGCGGUGGCAGCACCAUACCCACAGCAAACUAUAAGCGCACCCAACAGGUCACACCACCCAGCGAGAAUACCUCAAACACGGUUCCUAACACAGCUACGACAACGACAACCAAUCCCAACACCCAGUUCAUCGAAAGCGAACAGAGACACCAGCACCACCACGCGAAAACGGGUAAGAAGCUUCAGGCACCGCGGCCAGAACGCCGUGGACGAUCUCCCAGACGCCGACCUCAACAGCAAAAACCAGUGGAAUCAUCUCAACAACCUUCGAUCGAAAUUCAAGUGGAGCCACAGCAACCACAAGAACAGGAGCAACUCUUCUUGCCAGCUGAUGACCGAACUAGAUCCCGCAGCCCCAUGUGGGUACCAGGAUCGACUUCCUACGCUGAGGUUCUUCGCGGACUGGAGCUGGAGCGGAUCAGGGCCGAACAGCAGGCCGCCCAGGCAGUUCAGGGACGUUCCGAUCUGACCAUUCAGGAUGUUGUGGACGCUAGCGCAGAUGUUGUAGGCAUUACUUACAUACCCCAACCAGAUCCAGAGCCCAUCAAGGAAACGCAGCAACAGCCACCACAACUGGAACAGUAUAUCACCGAAACGAGCACAUUACUUGACUACUCUCCUCCCCAGCAACAGGAACAGAAGCCCCCAAUUAAUUACGAAGUCCCAAUGACUGCCGAAGAGAUUGCAGCCACCUACUUGCAGCCCGAUCCGCAGUUGUAUCAGACAAUGUACGAAAACGUGGCCGAUAGCGGUCAGUGGGGUUAUGUCACGGGUUCGGCGACGGAUCCACAGCAGCAGCAGGCUCCACAGAACUACUACGAGCAGAUAAUGCAGAUGCAGCAGUAUCCCAUACAGUAUCAACAGGUGGCUGUGCCACCAGCCACUACGCAAUAUCAGCUUUUACAAGGUUACUAUCAGCCGGUGGCUCAGACGGAGGCCUAUUCCACGGUGUAUCCGGCAGAACAAAAUCAAAUCUAUUACGCACCGCAAACGACGGAGUACUCGCAGGAAUAUUCACAGCAGCAGCAGGAGCAGCAAGUCGAGCCUAUGCUUGAAUACCAGCAGGAAACAGUGGAUCAGACAUAUCUGCUUGAUCCAUAUCGCGUGGAGAGCACUCUUCCCUCGACGACCGGCAACAGCGUGCUGGAUCGCGUUGUUACCACACUGGCAUCGAUCGUUCAACAGAGCGCAGAACCCCUGACCACCAGCACCCAGCAAAUCGAACCUCUUGCUACUGUGGUCCAGAGCGAGCCGUAUUAUAUUGAAGAGCAUGUUCAAAUGCUGCGACCCGUGGAGCCGCAGGAACUUGAGCUGGACGAACCGCGACCUGAUAUCACAUUUGGUCAGUUUGACGUUGAUGCUAUUGAAACCAUACCAUUGGAGGAACCACAAGCUCCACAGACCCAAGUCGAGACCCAGUCGCAAGUCCGUACUCAACAAACUAUUACGACAACCACCUAUGUCUCCGAACAGACACAGCCAACUGUGAUAAUGCAGCAGACUCAGGAAGUCAUCGCGAUACCAGAUAUCCCACAAGUCCCCACGGAAGAGCCCACAAAUAUUGUGGUGCACCCGCAGCCUCAGAGGCGAAGCAACCAACAGGUCCGGCCACAGGACAUUAGCACAGGCAGCACUUACGCCGAAGUCCUCUUCGGUCUCCACCACAAAGAACAUCCAGUUUUCCAGCCAUCCAGUCAGCAACCGACCCCAGUGCGCCUCACGUCCUCGCCGCCUUUGCAACGCAAGACAGAACAGGCUGGUCCUAUCAGUACCACUGCUUUUACCAGUAAGACUACCCAACCAGGCCGACAUGUCGAGAAAUCGACGACAUGGGAACACAAGAAUGACAAUGUGGACUCACGAAACUCGCGAAGUAAGAGAGUGAGGCACGAAGCUCAACCGGAACCACUACCGAUUAAACAGAGUACCAGGAAAGACGGUAGGACGGUUAGGAAACCCCAGUCCCCGGAUACAAAUGGUGUUGCCUCGGUGGAAACCAAAGUUGUUGUGGAUGCCCCAGCUCCCAACCCUGUAGUUGAAGAGACUUCAAAGCCUGAGCCAAAGCCCAGAAAAUCUAAGAAGUCUAAGAAGACUACUGAUAAUGUGGUUGAAUCAGCCGUCGCUAUUUCAGUGCCAUCUAAGAAAGAUACGCGAUCGGUCCUUCCCUCUGUAGAGAAAAAGGAAACUGUUGUCGAAAAAUCUGUGAUAAAGAAAACCAUUGAACCAUCCGUUGAGCCAGUAGAACCAGUUCCAGUUCCCUCGAAGAGAGAAAAGAAACAAAAGCCGGUCAAGGAAAAGGAAACUCCACAGUCAGAUGUACCGGUUGUUGAGGUGGCACCAGUCGCUCCAACCAGAAAAGAGAAGAAACAAGCCAAGACAGUUGUUAAGGAUGUUGAAACCAACAUUAGGAAUGAACCAUCGAUUGAAAAGGAGACUGUUAAGCCAGCUGAUGUUCCAAAGACACAAGUAAAGCAAACGAAAACUCUGGUCGAGACGGUAGUUGAAAAGAAGGUUCUCCAACCAGUCGUUACUGAGGACGUAGAGUUAGCAAAGCCUUUAACCCCGGCAGCGCCUUCGAAGAAGGACAAGAAAAAGAACAAGACAGUUGUUGAGCAAGAAGUGAUUAAGAAGCCAACUGAGACUGUUAUCGAAAAGGAGGUAGUAACGCCAACUGUGAUUGAAACAACCGAUGUUUCUCAAGUAAAGGAACAACAAACUGCGCCUACUUCUUCGAAAAAGGAAAAGAAGCAGUCCAAAAAAGUUGUUGAGACCUCUGUCAUUGUCACAGAAAAUGUGGAACCGGCUGUUCAGCUAGAGGCUGCUCCUGCAGUGCCCACGAAGAAGGACAAAAAACGGGCUAAGAAGGAACCUAAAGAAGAUAUUGAAAUUUCUUUGACAUCGGAGCCGUUGGUUUCUGUUCAGAAAACCGUUGAAAGAGUUGAAACCUUAUCCGAAACAAUUCCUGAAUCAAAAUUAGAAGAAGAAAAUGUGACAAUUCAAUAUGAAAAUGGUUUUUCAGACUUAGCACCUACAACAACCAACACUGUAUCCGAGGAUUUGGCAUCUUCGAUAGAAGUUGCACCCACCAAUAUAACUGAGACCAUUAUCGAAGGCGAACCCACGGUUACCACAUCGACUAAUACCAUCUCGACGGAAAGUGGAACUACAACUAUCACAACGCGCACAAUAACCAAGCAUAUUACCAAGCGCAUAGUGAAGCGAAUUGUGGAUGGUAAGGAGGAGAUUGUUGAGGAAGACGUCAUUGAUGAUUUGCCGGAAGAGAACAUCUGCGUUGAGCAGUACAAUCUACCAACAAUCGAAACCACCACCAAUGAGGUGCCCAUCGAUGUGACAGGAUUCGCUACAAGCCAGGAUACCAUCGUGCAGCAGGGAUCGAUUACUAAGACCGUUAUUACCAAGACAAAGCGCAUUCUGAAGCGCAUCACCGAAGACGGAGAGGAAAUUGUUGAGGAGGUCUUUGAGGAUGAACCCGAGGUAGAGCGCGACAUUACACUACUGCCAACUACAGUGGUGACUUCGUUGGAUGUCAUCAAGGAUGCCGCCCAUAAUGUGGUCGAGGAAGUUAUUAAGCAAGCUGAGGAAAUAACGCAACCUGAAUUGAUCGUGGAAAAGCCUGCUAAGGUAGAAAGUACCGCUGAACCAGAAGUUUCCAGCGAAGUUAUUGUUGAGCAGGAGCAAAAUAAGCCACAGAAGCCUUCGAGAAAGGAUAAGAAGAAGCAAAAGGAGACCAAACCAGAAACUGUAAUCGAAACGAAAGUGGUUGAAAUUGUCAAGCCGCAACAAGAAAUCGCAGAACCCCAACAAGAAAUCACAGAGCCCCUGAACACAACAAGUGCAAUUACAACGGAUAAUAAUCAAAGCCUUUCGUCGGAGCAAACAACUGUCAGCGAUGAUAGCGGCCUCAUUAAGACUACAGUUAUUCGUACAACCAAAAUCGUAAAGAAAAUCUCAAACAAUCAGCAGGAAAGUCAGGAGAUGACCUCUUCCACCUAUUCAGAUGCACCCUCGUCUUUGGGUUCUUACGAUUUGGCGGAGGAAGCAAAUGAACCUGCCAAGAUUGAAAAAUCAGAGUCGAAUAGCCGCGAAAUAAGCGAUGAGGGCGUGGUUAAAACCACUAAAACCACAACUACCAAAACAAUCAUAACUCCCAAGGUAGAAGAAGUCAAAGAGGAACCAUCAUUGGAAGUGACAUCCACUGUGUCGCCUCCAAUUGAUAUUGAGUCUGAGGAGGGUGGCGUUAUAAAAACCACUAUUGUGCGUACCACCAAAAUUGUCAAGAAGAUUUCCAAUGAGACCGAAAAUGUCAGCGAGACAAGCAGUGAACCCGAAGUAUCUCUACCAAUUGUGGAAACAGUCAUUCAAGAUGCACCUGUAGUAGCUGAAUCGGUUACAACCGAGUCGAAUAGCGAGGGUAUAACCAAGACCACAACGACGCGUACUACAAAGGCUGUGGCCAAGACUGUCACCGAAAAUGAACGAGAAAUCCUUAAUCUACCGGAUGUUCCUGUUGGUCCUGUUGAGCCAGAUAGUACAACCGUUUUGGGUGUAAUUGAAACCGUCGAACUGCCAGAAGUUCCGGAGGUCCCUAUUGGAGUCGAGGACCAGCUUCUAGUCACGGCAACAUCUACUAAACGUUCCCAGGCUAGUCAAGAAAAGUCAAAAAUUUUGGACUUCAUUAGCGCAGAACAGAAUGCGACUGAUAAAUAUACAGCGCCUGUGAAAACCGUCCCGGAGGUUCCAGUUAUCGAGGAGCUUGAGAACAGUUAUCCAAUUGAAGAAAGUACGGCACCUGAGCCAGAAUCUUCAGGUGUUGGGGAUGUUGUCAAGACCACAAUUGUUCGAACAACGAAAAUUGUUAAAAAGGUAACCCAAAACACGGAACAGGGCGUCAAUGUGAUCAUCGAUGCUCCUGAGCCGGAGUCUGAAAAAAUGGAACCAGAAGAGCCUGUUGAGGAGGCUAGUGGUGGUGUGACUAAGACAACAACUGUGCGUACUACGAAGAUCGUGAAGAAGCUGAAUGAAGAUGGAGAAACAACCACGGAGGAGACCAGCACUGCCAGUGACCCAGUCACAGUGCGCGAAUCUUCGCCAGCUUUUUCGGAAGUUCCGAGCGAUACUUCAACCACAUCCAGCCAAAUCGAUGGUGCAAUUAUCAAAACUACGACGAUUCGCACGAUGCGCAUUACAAAGAGGGUUUCCAAUGACGGACGUAUUCACCUUACGGAAAGCGAGACACCAAGUGAUGUAAUCGUGACUUCUAGCAUCGAAAUGCCCGAUCAACGACCAAUUAGUCCACUUAUAUCGUCGAGGUCAUCCUCCCCUGCUGUGACGCCUAGUUCCGAACUUAAGCUAGAUAAUAUGGGUGCUAAUAUUCAGUUAGGAUUGAAAGACAGUCCGACCGGGGUCAAGGUUAUUGGCAUCGAAACCAGCACAGAGAGCUUGCCGAAGCAUUCUGAACAGCAGUUCGCUACAAGCAAGACUAAUGGGGACAUUAACGAGACGGAUAGCAUUACCACUACUACGACGACUACCAAGAAUACGAUAUUAACGACUACGCAACGACGAAGCUUCGAAACCGAAGAUGGCACAAAUGUUCUUUUCGUGGGAGAAGGCAUUGACGGUGCAUAUCCACCGGGCACAGUUCAAAAGAUUUCCCUUAUUACCCAUGAAGAGAAGCUGAAGACACCUAUUGUGAAAAUGCAUCUUGAUUUUCCGGAGGUUAGUCUUCGGGUGACCGAGACUGUGACUGAAAAUGUGGAAUCCCUGCAAAGAACAGCCGAAAGCAAUGAAAAUUCCGUGAUUGAAGUAGUAGAAUUGUCCAAAUCUGAAGUUCCAGAAGCAAUAGAAUUAAAGCCAGCUCCCGUUGAUGAUCAUUCUACCAAUUUAGACGAACUAGUCAAGAUCCCAGAGGCGACCCCAACAGUUUUACCCGAAAGUAAUCCUGCAGAACUAAGCCCUGAAGAACAGAAGCUUUUCGAGGAUAUUCAGAAGAAAUUGUCUAAGAAAGAUAAGAAGAAGCGCCCCGCCAUUCCAGAAGAAUUUAUUAAGCAAGAAACGGUUCAGGUUAUUCUAGAAGAAAGCAAAGGUAAUGAUGCUCCUAAUGUUGUCCCUGUAGUUGAAGAACUAACUGAUGUCGCUAAACCCAUAGUUAAGCAGGACCCUAUUGCCCCGACUGUAAAAGUAGAAAUAGUUUCCGAAGCUCCACUUGUUUCAACCACUGAUGACGGCGAGGUAGAUACUAAGCCGAUCCCUGUUCCAGAGUCAGAGAAACUGCUCAACAUUUCCGAAGACUCGUCCCUAAUCGAGCAAAACAAUUCAGAAAUUCUUUACCACGAGUCUAUAGUAGAAGUUGUCCCUGUUUCUACCCAAGAAGAAGUGCAAGUAGAAAAUCCAUGUGAAACUCAAUCAAGUCCUGCUCCUACUAAUAUCGCUAAUGAAAUUGUUCCUGAUAAACCAAGCGCAUUAAUUGCUGAAGCAUUUGUGGCUAACACGGAUCUAAUUACGCAAGAGCUCGACGAACUGCUCCAAUCGCUUUCGAGCGUCGAGGAUGGCAUCGCCAACAUGAACCAGAGCAGCCUGGAUGGCAUGCUACAUGGAUUGAAGCUAAUCCAGAGCAAUCUCGAAGUACACGAAAGGGACGCCAUCGAGUUAAAGAAGCAGGCAAAGACAUUACCCACGGAUCCGGUUACCGAACGGUUGCUCAACGACACCGUGGACCGCAUCGAUUUACUACUACGCCGCACUCAGCAAGGCAUCACCAUGAUAGCGAAUGCUAUGCAUGGUCAGAAGAAGCGCCAGCAGGAGAUCGACGAGUACCAGCAACAUCUGCUGGAGCUGGAGCAAUGGAUCAUCGAGGUUUCCGCCGAGCUGGCUUCCUUUGAACCCACCUCGGACAGCAGCACGGAUGAGCAGGUGCUCAAGUCGCAGGUGGAGAGGAGCCAGCAAUUGCUGCGCACCCUCAAGGAUCGCCAGCAGUCCAUGGAGGAUUUGGUGGAGCAGACGCGCCAACUGCAAUCCCAUCCCGAUGUUUCUCCCUUGGCUGACACGCUUAUGGAGCAGCUGCAGAGCAUCAUUACCAUUCUGCGGGAACAGGUCACAGUGGCCACCAAGCGCAUCUUUACCAUUGAAAAGCGCAUCGUGGAUUUGCGAAAGGCCAAGAGCGAUGAGGCGCAACGUCAGCGUGUGCUUGCUGAUUCACUCAUCAAGCCACCAACCGAAGCGCCAGCAAGUCCAGAAGCACAUGAAUCCAUCGAGUCAAACGAGAACACCAUCGACUCGAGCUCCAUGCCCGAAGAGGAGAUCAAACCGACUGGAGUGUAUGUGGAGACGCAGACAUCGCUCAGCCUGCAGCAGCCGCCAGUUCAGGUGGUGACCACCACCACUGUGGAGGCGCAGACCAGCUUCAAGGAACCAGCUGUAGAAACGGCUGAGGUGGCUCUGCAAACCCAGAAGGAACGUUCGCCCACCGAGAACAUUAUGGUAACACAAACGGUGCAAGAUGGCCAGGAAACAAUCCAGAUCGACACGACUCGCAACAAGGAUGUGCCCGAUGAACCCGAAGAUGUCCAGAUUGAGGCUCGCUACCAUCAACGACCUAAGGGCGAUGUAGACCGCGCCACCGAGCUGAUCCUUAAAAAUGUACCUCAAGCGUUCGAAACCACUUUCGUGGAGCCAGAUGAGACGACCACCGAAGUGGUUGUUGGACCCGAUGGUACCAAACACAUAGUGCUCAAGAAAGUAACCCGUACCCGCCAGCAAGUUGUACAGCAACAGCAGAUCAGCUCAAUUGAGACUAUUAGCGAUUCGGAUGGUAACAUCGAGGUUCACUCCACGGGUCAGAUUAAUCUGGAGAAUGUGCACACCACGGACACCAAAGCUGAUCCCGAGGAGGGCAGUGUCCACACAGUUAUCACACAGCAAACGCGUGGUGCUCUUGUGGAUUCAACUCAGCCCGAGGGUGUGAUCCUGGAGGAAUUCGAAACCGAGCCAACUAUUGAGACGUACGAAGAAGUGAUAGCCCCAGGCUCCCAGGCGCAACUGAUUCCCAUGCAGCCGGGAGAUGUGCAAACCCAAGGCACAAUCCGAGCAGUAGUUCAGCAAGUGACCCGUAAGGUGAUCCGCAAGACGCGCAAGAUAAUCAAGCGAGUGGUGAUCAUCGACGGAAAGGAGCACAUCACUGAGGAAGUGGUCGAGGAGCCAGAGGAAGUGGAGAUCACCGAGGAGGAGACAGCACCGCACAUCAACGUAAAUAUAGUGCGAACCGUUGACGGAAAGGUGGUGAGCGAGGAGGAGUUCCAGCGAAUGAUGCAGGAGCCCGGAGUUCUAAUCGAAGAAGUUGCCACGGAUCUGCAAAAGCCGACAGCAGAGCCGCAGCAAGAGGUAUUUGAUAUUGAGUCUACCCAAGUCACCACCACCACAAGAACUACAACCGCAACCACACAAGAACAAGAACAGCCAGAACAACAGACACAACCAACAACAGAAACGACUAAAGAAGCACCAGUAGAGUUGCCAGCACCUCAAGUAGAUGUUGAACAACCCGUAGUAGUUGCCACUACCAGUCCCGUUCAUGUUCCAACAGCGGAUGUAGUCGAGCCCAAGGACUCCUCACCGACAUCCACUACCGCAGCUGUAGUAGAUGUCGAAGCAGUGGUUGAAGAUAUCAACGAGAUUUGGCCACUGGAACAUCAUCUGAAACCCACCAACAUUGACUUCUCCCAGCACGUCGAAGAAUUGGCAGCACCAGCAGCGGCCACAGCAGAGACUCAAGCAUCCAUGCCAGUAGAGGAAAUUUGGCCGACAAGUCCAGAAACCGGAAACUCAUUGACCCUGGAGCAGUACGAGUUUGAGCCACAAUCACCUCACGAAGAGAGCACAAAAUCUGAUCUAGUUAAGCCCCAAGAGACUGAACCGCAAGCUGUUGCUGAAACUAAGCCAGAAGCCAUUACCACUGGAAGUAUUACCAUUACCAAGACUACAACCACCAUUACAAGCUCCACAGAAGUACCGGAGGAAAAUCUUGCCCAAAAUGUGCCUGCCGAUGAACAACAUCCUCCUGCAAACAAAAUCAAGACUGACAUUCAAAGUUUCCUUGAAGCCGAACAGACUUUGGCCGCAGCUCUAAAGGAGCAGUCUUCAACUCCGACUGGAGCUUCAGUUGCUGAAGAUGUUCAGACUCAGCCUGAGGAAAUAGUUCUUGAGGAGAGGACUGUUGAAAUUUCAACCAUCAAGACUGAAGAGAAUCAACCAGAGCCAGUUACUGUGGAAGAAGUGAAAUCACUACCUGUAGAGCCUGAACCAGUAGAACCAGAGCUGGAGGAAGUGGCCAUUGGAAUUGUUGAGCAGACUGAGCAAGAGCCAGAAGAGCCCGUUCUUGAGAUACAACCAGCUCCUGGCCAAAUCGACCUGCGUGCCGCCACUCAACUCUUCAUCUCUGGAGAGGCCGCAGCCUCAACGGCUCCACAGAAAACCUUCCAAAUCACAGCACCCUCUCUGGAGGACAAUGGCGCUGGUGUGCUGAAGGUUGUCCUGGGCAAGGAAAGCACCAACGAAGAGGAUACCGCAGCUCCGACUACCGGCAAGGUUAGCAUGACCAUCAUUGAGACCGCUGCUGCUCCCGUCGCCGACGCCAAGCGGCGUCGAAAGAAAAAGAAGAGAAGAGAUACAAAGCACGAGGAGGAGCUUGAGCAAGAACAAGAAACUGAGCCGGAGCCAGUUGCCGUUAAGGAGCCUGAGGUGAGCUCUGAUGCGCCCGUUUCUCCGGAGGAUUCACCACGCGAUACCGUUCGUCAUGAGUCCAUUGUUGAGAUUAGCCCCGAUAGCGAUUUGUCCAGCAUUGAGAUUGACACGAAAGUGAAGAUUGUGGAGGAUGCCGUGGUUUCUUCACCAUCGGAGUCGCCACGAACGCCAAUGGUUGAGCUGGUCAUUCCCACUGAGGUUGUUGAGUUAGCUUUAGUCGAGGAUGAGGAACAACAAACCACACCGCGUAUUCCCUCGCCCACGGAAAAAUCGGAAGUCGAGCAGGAUAUUAAGUCCGUGCAGACUUCGCCACAGCAUCAACCCAAACUGGAUGAGACUGCAGUGCAGACGAGUCUGGAGGUGCAGCCGGAUAACCAGGAGAAUGAAUCGCAAACACUGAUUGUUGAGAUAACGGAGACUGAAGCACAAACCACUCCGCGAAGCGAGGAGCAGCCGGUGGCUGUUGAGAUUUCCACCACUGAGAUUCAAACCGAUGUGAGUGGCCAGCCAGCUGAAACUGUAGAGAUUUCCAGCCAAACUACCGUGACCACCACCAUCGAAAAGGAACUGCAGACCACGCCGAAGGAUUCUCCUCGAGCACCAGAGGCAGGCAGCAGUGACGUGGUGGAAUCUCUGGUGCAGGAUUUGGUUAAGGAUAUGACCACCGAUCUGCCAGUGCGUACAAGCGAACAAUCUACCGUGACUGAAACCACCACAACCACUGAGACCCAUGUGCAGACAACCACUCCGGAGCCAAGGGAACAGACUGAAGUCAUUAAACCGGAAACUGCCCAUGAAGAAACCUCAACCGUUGAACUAGUGCAGUUCGCGGAUGGUGAGAUGCAAACCACGCCUCUUGUAGAACAGCAACCCGCAUCUUUGGAUGAUAGUUCUCUGACAGCCACUUCGAUAUCCGUUUCGGAACCCUAUGAACUGGAGGUCAAGACUACGGUGGCCAUUCCCGCUGAUUCGGAUACAUCUGUGGCUGAGCCAACGGUCUAUGAAUACACACAGACCAUGCAGCUGCCUAAGCAGGAGAAGAAAUCCAAGAAGGACAAGAAAAAGAAGCAGAAGAAUGUGCCUGAAGUGGAGCAGCAGCUGCCAGAGGAUCAACAGAUCAGUGUGACCGUUGAAAUCGCACCUGAGUUACUAUCUGAGUCCGGCAUUGUGGUAUCCACCAACCAGCAGAUUGAAGAUGUGCCUCAUGUAACACCCGUGGUGGAAACUCCCAUCGAAUCCGAAGAAGUGGAAACGCCCAAAGCUCAAAGAGUGCAACUUCAAAUCACCAAGACCACUGUCUACGAUGAGUAUCCCGAUCUGCCAGUGCACAUAACUGAGCAGAACAAGGUGCUGAUUGCGUCCCAGCAGAGCAAGCGAUCCGGAGCAGGACCCACAUCCUCAGCGGUGACCAUCGAAGAGGUGGGCUCACCCACGGAGGAGCUGGUAGUGCCCAUCACCCCGGGACCGGACAAUCUGAGUGGCGAGCCCCACAACAUCUGGUUCAGUGCCACCACCAGUGUGGAUAAGACACCCAUUGAGCUCUCCCAGGCUUUAAUUAUGAGCGAGAGUUUGCAGCACUAUCCAGGACAACAGCAACUGACCCAGCAGCCAAUCCUGAUUUCCACCAAGGAGGCCAUAGGCGACCGCAUCAAGCAGCUCAAGCAGGCGACGCCCCAACAAGCCACUCCACUGAGCAAUGUGCUCCACUUGGCCACCUUAUCUGAACAGAUUAAGGAACUACCCACCGAGCAACGCAUCUUGGAGGUCAACGAAGGUCUCAAGGAUCUCGAUGUUGCCAUUAAGAAUGGCGACAAGACUGUGAUUCAAACCACUGUGAUCACGGUUAUCGAGAAGGUAUCAACUUGGUUGGAAACCAUCGAGUAUCGCGUGUACCUCAUCAGACAGAACUCCAAUGAAGGACCCUCCGAAGAGAAGCUGGAUAACUAUAACCAACUUAACGACGAGCUGAGCACCAUCAAGCAAAAUGUCGUCCAACUUGAGCGACAAUUGUCCAAGGCUGAGCCGGAACCAGAGUUGCUGCAAUGCGUGGAUAGCCUGAAGGAGCACGUGGAUGCAGUUGAGCAGGUUACACAACAGAACCAGGUGCAGGACAGCAAUGAUCUGGACAAGUGGCACAGCUUCGAGGUUCUUCUGUACAACGUCUCCUCCGUUUUGGCCGACCUUCAGCAGAGCUACGAUCUUUUGAUCAAUCAAGAGUAUCCUUUGUCCGCUAAACUGGCCCAGUUGGAUGAGUUGGAGCGGCAGCAUGAGGCGGCGCAGCAGCAACUUGCGCAUCUCUGUCAAAACGCUCGAGCUUUCCAACGCGAUUUCCCAGGCAAGAAGAUGCCGCAGGAUGUGCACAAUGCCUUCGAGACCAGCAAGAAUAUUGCCAACAACAUUCAGGCAGAGCGGGAGCGUGUGCUUCAACUUCAAUCUCUAGCGGAGGAGUACGAGCAGACCCUCAAAGAGUUCACCAAAAUCACGGUUCUUGCCGAUAAGCUGGUGGAGAGUCCAAUUGUAUCCAGUUCCCUCGAGCAGCUAAACAACGAGGUGCAGAAACAGAGGAAGUUCUUCGUAAAUCUCAGUCACUGUCGCGCUAUGUUGGAAUCUCUGGAGGAGAACAUCGAUAGUGAGACCCGCGAGAAGCACUCGGAGCUGCACAAGGAGCUCUACAACAGGGCUACCAGUCUGUUGGACAAGGCAUCCGAAAGGUCCUCCAAAUUGGUGCAAGCUGCCUCCCGUUGGACCGUGCUGGAGAAGGGCAUGCGGGAUGAACUUCAAUGGCUCCAGGUGGCUCAGCAACGAGUUCCCGACCUAUCAGCCGUAACUUCCGCAGACUACGAUCAAUACACCACCCUGUACCAAUCCCUUAGCAAUGACAUCUCACAUCACUACGUGAAAAUGACGCAGCUUUCGGGAAUUGCCAACAAGUUGCAGCUCUUGGUGCAAGCCCCCAAUCUCGUAGAGGAAACCAAUGAGGCGUUGAUAGUGCUACUCAAACUCCGCGAGGAGGUUGCUCUCUACCUUCACCGCCUUCUGGUCUUCAAGGAAAUCUGGGUGCAGUACGAACAGCAAACGGAUAAGCUGGAGGCCUUUGUACGCGAAGCAGAGCAGGAAUUGAGGAACAUCCAGAUACCCUCGCAGCCCACUCACCAGCCCAUCGAGCACAUGCGUCAAUUCUGGGAGAUUAAGGCCCGUUUCGAGCUCCACAAUAAUGUGAGAACCGAUACGGGUCUGAGCUUUGAGAAAUCCCUGCAGGUCAUCCCCUUGGCCGACGAGAUGCUUCAGCGGCAGUUCCAUGCCCAACUGGAGGAUCGCUGGCAGGCAGUGGCCCAGGCCAUCGAACUCAUUCAGCACAACAUUGUGGAGUGCCUGUCGUCGGAGGAUGUACCCGCAGACGAGAAGCUCAAAAUGGUGGAGCGAGAGCUGCAGGAGAUCUACCUGACCAUGACCAGCAUGAAGGGAGUCAUCAAGAACGAGGAGGAGCUCUGUCUGUACAUCGAACGAGUCCAAGUACUCCGCACUCGCGUCGGCUUCAUUGGCAACGAGCUGGGCAGGAUUGGACUACAAGAGCCUGCCAUUGAGCCGGAAAAGGUGGGUGAGCUAUUCUCGCUCUCACACAAGAUAAGCACCCAGAUCGCCGAGGAGCUGGAGGGUGCAUCUGUGCUGCGUGACCAACUGCAGGCCAUCCAGGAGGGCAUUAGCAAUCAACGCAAACACCAGGCCAAGAUUUCGGUCAUUUUGGAUGAAUGUGAAGCCGCCGAGCGCCAGGGAGCAGAUGUCCUCGAAAAGGCCGUUGCCGAUUGCCAGGCUGCCGGCGAGGAGCUGGUGAUCAGCUGGCAGGAGAUUAUGCGAAUCCGCCAGAUGCUACACACCCUGCCCAUGCGCCUCAAGAUGUCCGUUUCACCGGUUAAGUUGGAGAGGGAUAUCUCCCAACUGCAGGACGACCACGCCUUCCUCGAGAGCAAGUGCACCAACAUUAUGGCCAUCCUGAGGAGCCGCCUAGCCGUCUGGCUGCGCUAUGAGCGUCAGCUGGAGCUGGUCCACGGAUCUGUCCAGGAAACCGACUUCAUGAUGGAACUCAUCCGGGUGCACGGUCAAGUGGACUACGAGCGCCUGCGCAAAGCCACGGAGCGUUUGGAGGGACUGGCUGGCGAUCUGCAUAACCGCGAGCAACUGAUCGAUGAGCUGAAGGGUGCCGCCAAGCCGCUGAUCGAGAGCUGCGAUGUCCAGAUUGUCGAGCAGAUCGAGUCCGCUGUCCAGGAGGCGGUAGUCGCCUGGAAUGACACCAGCGAGAAUCUGCAGCAGCUGCGAACCCGCUACCAAAGAGCCGUCGAACUGUGGGACAAGUAUCGCAACGCCUCAGCGGCCGUCAAGAACUCCAUUGACCAGCAGAUGGAUGCGGUCAAGUCGCUGGAGCAGCCCCUGGAUGCCCUGCAGCACGCCAAGGUAUGCCAAGACAACCUGACGACCCAGAAUGACAGAAUCUUGGAGUUGCGCGACAUUGUGGCCAAGAUCGCCGCCGAUGUGGGCCUGGAUGCCUCGGCGCUCAUGCAAGGUGAAUUGGAUGCACUGGGUCAGCGAUUGGCCGAGUGCAAGGAUGCCAUCACCACGCUGGCCAACGUGGCCGAAACGCAGGACAAGGAGCGCAAGGAGCUCGACAAGGAGGUGACUCUGGCCAAGGCCUACUUCAACAAUGUGCAGCAGGACAUUUCCCGAGAGGCACCGCAAAAUCCCAAGGAAAGCGAGGAGCAGCUGGCCGCUUUGCGAGCCCAUCUCCAGACGUUGGCCCGAACGGAAGAGCAGCUGCGUCAGCUGAAGGAGCGCCAUCAGAACAGCGAAGUAGCACCAUCGGUGGCCGGCAGCGAUGAUGACGGCAUCCUAGAGGUUCUAGCCCUGUGGCAGAAGAUUUUCCAGGACACCUUCCAGGAGUACCAUCGCCUGUCCACGCGACUCGCCCGAAGCCAAAACAGCUCGGAGGCUCUGCGAUUGUGGAGGCAGUAUCUGCAGCACGUCCAGUCCUUCCUGUCCUGCGCCAUUCCCGAGGAUUACAGCAGCCUGCGAGAACAGCAGCAGCUGUGUGCCAUCCACCAGAACUUGCUCAUCUCGCAGCAGAGUGUGCUUUCCGAGACACCACUGGAAUCGGAGCUAUCGGAGCAGUACAAGGCUCUGACCAACCUGCACAAUGAAACCCUCUCGAGGAUCAUGCAGCGCAAUGGUGAGCUGGAACGGCGGGUUAGUGGCUGGAAUGCCUACCGCCAGCAGCUUGCAGCCCUUUUGGACUGGCUGCGUCAACGGGAAGCGGAACGCAAUGCCCUACAACUGCGCUACAUUCACCUGAAGCGAGUGCCCCACCUGAAGCACCGCCUGGAUGCCAUGAUCCAGCAGCUGGAUCAGGGAGAACAACAGAGCAAGGCUUUGCAGGAGCAGCAGCAGGAGCUGGCCAGGCAUUGUGACGACGCGCUGGCCACCGCCAUGCGAAUGGAGCAGGCCAGCAUUGGUCAGCGGAUAAGCAAUCUCCGCGCAGCCCUCAAGACCUGGCAAGGAUUCCUGCAGCGCGUUACCCAGCUAUCGGAAAGCUACGAGCAGCGAGUGAACCAGUUGCAACAGGAAUUCGGAGCAGCUCAGAAGCUUCUGGAUGCCAACAGCGAAUCCCUGCCCACUCAGCCAGCGGCGAUUGAGCAACUCCUAGGAUCCCUGCGUGCGCAAAGGGUCCAACUUGGUGCCCAAGUCUCCGCUCUGGAGAGUCUCACUGUGACCCAGGAGGAGCUCAAGGAGUGCAUCAGUCCCCACGACAUGAAGACCAUUCGCCAAAGGAACUGGUUGCUCUGGCAGCAGCACGCCGAUCUGGACUACCAGCUGGCCAACCUGAUCAACUCCAUCGAGGAGCGGUUGUCCCUACUGUCCAACUAUCAAAUCAGAUACGAUCGCAUCUCCCAGUGGCUGCAACGUUUGGAGCAACGUGUGGAAAAGGAUGCUGAUGUCACUGCCAUGACGAAUCCCGAACAGGCAGCCAAGCAGCUGGAGCAGCAAGUGAAUUCCGAGCUGCAACUGAGGGACAAGGAACGAGAGUGGCUUCUAUCGACCAGCCGGGAACUGCUCCGGCAGAGCACGACUGCACAUCAGACCCCUAGCACGGAUUGACUCGAGCCGCUCAGCAAUGUCCAGAAGUGCGAUCCCAGGUGCAACAACAGAGUGACUCCCUCAUCGAUCGCUGGCAGCGUCUCAAGUAUUUGGCCAAACAGAAGGCCACCAAGAUAGGAGAACUCAAGAUGACACUUCUCCGUUUGGAGGAGCGAAUCGCCCUGAUCCGCGCCUGGCUCUUCGAAGUCGAAUCCCAACUGGACAAGCCCUUGAAUUUCGAGAGCUACACACCGAAUGUAAUCGAGGCCAAGCUGAAGGAGCAUGAGCAAAUCCAACGCUCCAUUGAGCACCACAGCAGCAAUGUGGGCGAGGUCCUAAAUCUCGUAGAGAUGCUCCUCAACGAUGCGGACAGCUGGCGCACGCAGGUGAACACUUCCGGAUUAGCUGCCUCAGCUCAGAAUCUGGAGCAGCGCUGGAAGAACGUGUGCAGCCAGUCGGCGGAACGAAAGGCCCGCAUCCUGAGCAUUUGGAAUCUUCUACAGCAGCUCAUCAAGCUCACUGCAGAGCACAAAAACUGGCUGGGAAAACAAGAAAGCCAAAUUGCCGGCUUCGAAAGAGAUCAGAAGUCGCACAGCAAGCAUAAGCUGGAGGAGCGACAGAAGGAGCUGAGAGCUAAGUUGGAGGAACUGGAAAGCCAGUCGGUGAAUCUUCGCCAGCUGGAGCAGAUCUAUGCUAAGCUGACCAUGAGCGCUGGCGUCGAGCCGGAGAACAUCCAGAAGCUGACACUGCCCACCAAGGUGAUGGUGAGCAUGUGGCGCCAGUUGACGCCACGUUGUCACGCCCUAUUGGAUGCCAUCGACAAGGAUGCCAAGCUUAUGCGAGAGUUCAACAACGCUCAAUUGGAAGCCACCAACUCCCUGAAUGCCAUACAAAAGGCUUUGGAACAAUUGCCCAGCGCGGAGGAUCAACAGACCUCCAAGGCGGAGCCGAAAGCGGUGCUCCAACGUCUUGAGAGCCUAGAGAAGAAGUUGCAGGACGCCCAACAGCAUGUCCAGCAGGCGGAUAACCUGGCCCAGGAGGCCAAGACCAGGACCAAGCAGCAACCCCAACUGAAGCAAUUGCUGGAACUUGUGUCCGCCUAUACCACCCUUUGGCAGACGGUCCAGACCCGCAUUGUCACCCUCAAGACCACUUGGCUGACCAGAGCAGCGCAGGCAGCCGCCUCUCUGCCGGUCAGUGAGGCAGCCAACGCUGCCGUCCAGGUAAACACCCUGUCCCAGCGGAAACUACGCCAGGCCCAACAGAUGCAGCGGGAAACCUCCAUCACAGCCAAGGAUGCCUACAUCAUGGAACUGCAGACGGCCAUCACGGAGUGCCAGAACAAUCUGGACGAGCUGCAGCGCACGGUGGUGGACAAGACCCGCAAGCCGGGACCCCAGAAGAUCGCCAAGCUGCUGGGCAACGCCCAGUCCUCCACCGAGUUGGUGAAGCAUCUCAGCCAUCUACUGAUCACCGAGUGCAAGGCGGAUGGCCAGGCUGCCGAGGUGGACACCGUGGCAGAGCUCACGUUGCGCUUCGAUACACUGCAAUCGCAGUGGAAGGCGCGACAGCAGCACGAUCAAAAUGCAAGCGAGGUCGGCCGGCUAACGUGUCCGCUCUGCACACAGCGAAACUGGCAGCAGAUCGACAACGAUCUGUGGCGCCUGGAGCAGUGGCUGCAGUUCGCCGAGAGCACCCAGAAGGCCCAGUCAGCUCCGCCCUCGAACAUCGAGCUGCUGGAGGACGUCACGCAGGACCAUCGCGAGUUCCUCCUGGAUCUGGAGAGUCACAAGUCCAUCAUAUCGUCGUUGAAUGUGGUCGGUGACCACUUGGCUACGCACACUUUGGAUACCGAGAAGGCGCGACAGCUGCGAUCUCGUCUAGAGGCGGACAAUGAGCGCUGGAACAAUGUGUGCAUCAAUGCCACCAAAUGGCAAGGUCUUCUCCAGACCGCCCUGAUGGGCAACAGCGAGUUCCAUCAGACCAUCGAUGAGCUGGUGGAGUGGCUGCAGCGCACCGAGCAGAACAUCAAGGCCUCCGAGCCCGUCGAUCUCACCGAGGAGCGCUCCGUUCUGGAGACCAAGUUCAAGAAGUUCAAGGAUCUGCGCGCCGAACUGGAGAGAUGCGAACCUCGGGUGGUCAGCCUGCAGGAUGCCGCCGAUCAGCUGCUCCGCUCCGUCGAGGGCUCCGAGCAGCAAUCGCAACACACCUACGAGAGAACCCUUUCCAGAUUGACCGAUCUCCGGCUGCGUCUCCAAUCCCUGCGUCGUCUAUCCGGCAUCUAUAUCGUCAAACUGGGUGCCGUCCUCGGCUACGAGGGCGACAAUCUCGGCGUGCCACUGCACAUGUUGUCUAGUGAGCUUUUGGAUAAUACUACAUUAUCAACCUCUUCCAUGCAGGCCGCCGCACCCAACACAGAAAAUGCAAACAACACCGAUGGCGGCGAUGCUGUCGAUGGCGAUGUCAUCAAUACCACGGUUCUGGCGCGCGGUGCACGAUUCCUAGGCCGCGUUGCACGUGCCUCGCUGCCCAUUCAGGCGCUCAUGCUGCUGCUUUUAGGUGUGGCCACCCUGGUGCCCCACGGUGAGGACUACACCUGUAUGUUCUCCAACACCUUCGCGCGCAGCCUGGAGCCCAUGUUGUCGUAUCCCCACGGACCGCCACCCACGUAAGGUUGUCGAGUUGCAAUUGGAUUAGUGCAAUCAAACACGAUCAAGAACAAAGUCAAGAAACCCUAAACCCUAAGAAAGAACCCCUAAGAAAACACACAGUUUAAAAGAUGCCUUUUGAAAGCAAAAUUUGAAGUAAGAAAAAUUUAAACAAAAAAAUGUUGAAUAUCGAAAUGGAAGAGUUGUACAUUUGUGUAGUUUAUCACAUUUUGUAAUUGUAUGUAAUUUUAUAGUCAUUCGAUAGCUAGAGGCAUUAAUAAAACAACCAAUUUGUAUAUAACCUACAGAA